UGAGGCGUAGGAAGUGGUUGCCCGCAAAAUAUUUGCGGAAGGAAAGUCCGGGCUCCAGAGGGCGAGCGCAGUGGGUAAUAACCACCCGUUGAUGUUGAAUCAGCGAGGAUAUCCCGGAUCGUUACGAUCCGGGAUCCCGAAGAAGACUUCGCAAGAAUGAGGCUUCGGGAGAGCCACAGAGACGAGCCUGGAUCCAGGGAAACCUGGCCCCGGGGUGAAACGAGCAAUCUCUGCGCGGAGCAAGGCCGAAUAGAAAACCAGGAAUAGCCCGUUCCGUUACGAGUUUUGGGUAGGCUGCUAAAUCCAGGGCAGGCGACUGCCCGGAUUAGAGGAAUGACCACAUAAACAAAACCCGGCUUAUUCUACGCCUCAGUAA
rnacentral:RNase_P_RNA from 1 species